rnacentral:rRNA from 1 species
AGAGUUUGAUCAUGGCUCAGAUUGAACGCUGGCGGUAUGCUUAACACAUGCAAGUCGAACGGUAACAGCGGAAGCUUGCUUCCGGCUGACGAGUGGCGGACGGGUGAGUAACGCGUGGGAAUCUGCCUACUAGUGGGGGAUAGCCCGGAGAAAUCCGGAUUAAUACCGCAUACGCCCUAAGGGGGAAAGCCGGGGAUCUUCGGACCUGGCACUAGUAGAUGAGCCCGCGUUGGAUUAGCUAGUUGGUGGGGUAAAAGCCCACCAAGGCGACGAUCCAUAGCUGCUCUGAGAGGAAGAUCAGCCACACUGGGACUGAGACACGGCCCAGACUCCUACAGGAGGCAGCAGUGGGGAAUAUUGCACAAUGGGCGCAAGCCUGAUGCAGCAAUACCGCGUGUGUGAAGAAGGCCUGAGGGUUGUAAAGCACUUUCAAUAGUGAAGAAAAGCUCAGAGUUAAUACCUCUGGGUCUUGACGUUAUCUAUACAAGAAGCACCGGCUAACUCCGUGCCAGCAGCCGCGGUAAUACGGAGGGUGCAAGCGUUAAUCGGAAUUACUGGGCGUAAAGCGUGCGUAGGCGGUUUACUAAGUCAGAUGUGAAAGCCCCGGGCUUAACCUGGGAACUGCAUUUGAUACUGGUAGACUAGAGUAUGAUAGAGGGGGGUAGAAUUCCUGGUGUAGCGGUGAAAUGCGUAGAUAUCAGGAGGAAUACCAGUGGCGAAGGCGGCCCCCUGGAUCAAUACUGACGCUGAGGUACGAAAGCGUGGGUAGCGAACAGGAUUAGAUACCCUGGUAGUCCACGCCGUAAACGAUGAGAACUAGCCGUCGGGGUCUUGAGGCCUCGGUGGCGCAGCUAACGCGUGAAGUUCUCCGCCUGGGGACUACGGCCGCAAGGCUAAAACUCAAAUGAAUUGACGGGGGCCGCACAAGCGGUGGAGCAUGUGGUUUAAUUCGAUGCAACGCGAAGAACCUUACCACCCCUUGACAUCCUCGGAACUUGUCAGAAAUGACUUGGUGCCUUCGGGAACCGAGUGACAGGUGCUGCAUGGCUGUCUUCAGCUCGUGUCGUGAGAUGUUGGGUUAAGUCCCGCAACGAGCGCAACCCUUGUCCUUAGUUGCCAUCAGUUCGGCUGGGAACUCUAAGGAGACUGCCGGUGAUAAACCGGAGGAAGGUGGGGAUGACGUCAAGUCAUCAUGGCCCUUAUGGGGUGGGCUACACACGUGCUACAAUGGUCGGUACAAAGGGUUGCCAAGUCGCAAGACGGAGCUAAUCCCACAAAGCCGAUCGUAGUCCGGAUUGGGGUCUGCAACACGACCCCAUGAAGUCGGAAUCGCUAGUAAUCGUGAAUCAGAAUGUCGCGGUGAAUACGUUCCCGGGCCUUGUACACACCGCCCGUCACACUAUGGGAGUGGGCUGCAAAAGAAGUAGGUAGCUUAACCUUCGGGAGGGCGCUUACCACUUUGUGGUUCAUGACUG